UCAAGCUAAGAAGAGCACAGGGCGGAUGCCUUGGCACCAAGAGCCGAAGAAGGACGUGGCAAGCUGCGAAAAGCCAUGGGGAGCUGCAAACAAGCGAAGAGCCAUGGAUGUCCGAAUGGGGAAACCCGGCGGCGGGAAAGCGCCGUCAACGCUGCAUGAAUCCAUAGUGCAGCGUGGGGAACCCGGUGAACUGAAACAUCUAAGUAGCCGGAGGAAGAGAAAGAAAGAUCGAUUUUCAAAGUAGCGGCGAGCGAAAUGGAAAGAGCCUAAACCGAACCUCUACGGAGGGUCGGGGUUUUGGACCUGCGGAAUCGGAAGCACUUAUAGUUGAAUAGCUGUGGAAACGGCAACCGGAGAGGGUAAAAGUCCCGUAAGCGAAAUGAGUGUGAAGAGGCGGGGAUCCAGAGUACCACAGGACACGAGGAAUCCGGUGGGAAGACGGGGGGACCACCCCCCAAGGCUAAAUACUACUUGGUGACCGAUAGCGAAUAGUACCGUGAGGGAAAGGUGAAAAGCACCCCGGGAGGGGAGUGAAAGAGAACCUGAAACCCUAUGUUUACAAGCACAGGGAGCACGUUAAGGGUGCGACCUGGUACUUUUUGUAGAACGGACCGGCGAGUUACGUUAUGAUGCGAGGUUAAGGUAUAGAGUACCGGAGCCGAAGCGAAAGCGAGUCUGAAUAGGGCGAAAGAGUAUCAUGAUGUAGACCCGAAACCGUGUGACCUAUCCAUGGACAGGUUGAAGUGGGAGUAAAAUCUCAUGGAGGACCGAACCACACUGCCGUUGAAAAGGUAGGGGAUGAGCUGUGGAUAGGGGGGAAAUUCCAAACGAACACGGAGAUAGCUGGUUCUCCUCGAAAUAGCUUUAGGGCUAGCCUCGGGGUAGAGAAUAAUGGAGGUAGAGCACUGAAUGAGCUAGGGGGCCACAAAGCUUACCGAACUCUAUCAAACUUCGAAUGCCUGUUAAACGAUGCACGGGAGUCAGACUGCGAGUUAUAAGAUCCGUAGUCAAAAGGGAAACAGCCCAGAUCGACAGCUAAGGUCCCCAAGUGUGUGUUAAGUGGAAAAGGAUGUGGAAUUGCACAGACAACCAGGAUGUUGGCUUAGAAGCAGCCACACAUUCAAAGAGUGCGUAAUAGCUCACUGGUCGAGUGAUUGUGCGCCGAAGAUGUCCGGGGCUAAACGUGACACCGAAGCGAUGGGUGCAUCUGAAAGGAUGCGCGGUAGAGGAGCAAUGUGCAGAGGCAGAAGCCGUAUCGAGAGGCACGGUGGACACUGCACAAGAGAGAAUGCCGGUAUGAGUAGCGAGAGGCAUGCGAGAAACAUGCCCGUCGAAAGCCCAAGGUUUCCUGGGGAAGGUUCAUCCGCCCAGGGUAAGUCGGGGCCUAAGCCGAGGACGGAAGUCGUAGGCGAUGGACAGCAGGUGUAGAUUCCUGCACUACCGAUGGAAUGAAGCAGUGACACAGAAGGAUAACUCGAGCAGGGUGAUGGUCAACCCUGUGCAAGCAUCGAGGUUGGGUUGUAGUGAAGUACGCAACCCUAUAAGCUGAGGUGUGAUGCGGACCGAAAUUUCAGUAGGGAAGCGAGUGAGUUCACGCUGGCGAGAAAAGCUGCUAGUAUAUCCAAAGGUACCCGUACCGGAAACCGACGCAGGUGGGCGAGGAGAGAAUCCUGAGACGAACGGGAGAACCCUUGUUAAGGAACUCGGCAAAAUGACCCCGUAACUUCGGGAUAAGGGGUGCCUGCGAGAGCAGGCCGCAGAGAAUAGUCACAAGCGACUGUUUAGCAAAAACACAGGUAUCUGCGAAAGCGAGAGCUGACGUAUAGGUGCUGACACCUGCCCGGUGCUGGAAGGUUAAGGGAACAUGUUAGAGCAAUCGAAGCAUCGAACCGAAGCCCCAGUAAACGGCGGCCGUAACUAUAACGGUCCUAAGGUAGCGAAAUUCCUUGUCGGGUAAGUUCCGACCCGCACGAAUGGUGUAACGACUUGUGAGCUGUCUCAACAGGGGGCCCGGUGAAAUUGAAGUAUGGGUGAAGAUGCCCAUUACCCGCGACUGGACGGAAAGACCCCGUAGAGCUUUACUGCAGCCUGAUAUUGAGUUUCGGUAACUGAUGCACAGGAUAGGUGGGAGUCUGAGAGACAUGGGUUUCGGCUCGUGUGGAGACGAUGUUGGGAUACCACUCUUCGGUUACUGAAAUUCUAACAUAGCUCUGUGAAACCAGAGGAUGGACAGUGUCAGGUGGACAGUUUGACUGGGGCGGUCGCCUCCGAAAGAGUAACGGAGGCGCCCAAAGGUACCCUCAGAAUGGAUGGAAACCAUUCGAAGAGCGCAAAGGCAGAAGGGUGCCUGACUGCGAGAUUGACAAAUCGAGCAGAGACGAAAGUCGGGCUUAGUGAUCCGGCGGUAUUGAGUGGAAAAGCCGUCGCUUAACGGAUAAAAGCUACCUCGGGGAUAACAGGCUGAUCUCCCCCAAGAGUCCACAUCGACGGGGAGGUUUGGCAC
rnacentral:rRNA from 1 species